GCCGGGAGUGGUGGCUCACACCUGUAAUCCCAGUACUUUUGGAGGCUGAGGCGGGUGGAUCACUUGAGGUCAGGAGUUCGAGACCAGCCUGGCCAAUAUGGUGAAACCCCGUCUCUA
rnacentral:sRNA from 1 species